AGGAAGUGGCGGCUGCUUACCAUGCAGUCGAACGGUAAGGCCCUUCGGGGUACACGAGUGGCGAACGGGUGAGUAACACGUGGGUGAUCUGCCCUGCACUUUGGGAUAAGCCUGGGAAACUGGGUCUAAUACCGAAUAGGACUCCGGACUGCAUGGUCUGGGGUGGAAAGCUUUUGCGGUGUGGGAUGGGCCCGCGGCCUAUCAGCUUGUUGGUGGGGUGAUGGCCUACCAAGGCGACGACGGGUAGCCGGCCUGAGAGGGUGACCGGCCACACUGGGACUGAGAUACGGCCCAGACUCCUACGGGAGGCAGCAGUGGGGAAUAUUGCACAAUGGGCGCAAGCCUGAUGCAGCGACGCCGCGUGGGGGAUGACGGCCUUCGGGUUGUAAACCUCUUUCAGCACAGACGAAGCGCAAGUGACGGUAUGUGCAGAAGAAGGACCGGCCAACUACGUGCCAGCAGCCGCGGUAAUACGUAGGGUCCGAGCGUUGUCCGGAAUUACUGGGCGUAAAGAGCUCGUAGGUGGUUUGUCGCGUUGUUCGUGAAAACUCACAACUCAAUUGUGGGCGUGCGGGCGAUACGGGCAGACUGGAGUACUGCAGGGGAGACUGGAAUUCCUGGUGUAGCGGUGGAAUGCGCAGAUAUCAGGAGGAACACCGGUGGCGAAGGCGGGUCUCUGGGCAGUAACUGACGCUGAGGAGCGAAAGCGUGGGGAGCGAACAGGAUUAGAUACCCUGGUAGUCCACGCCGUAAACGGUGGGUACUAGGUGUGGGUUUCCUUCCUUGGGAUCCGUGCCGUAGCUAACGCAUUAAGUACCCCGCCUGGGGAGUACGGCCGCAAGGCUAAAACUCAAAGAAAUUGACGGGGGCCCGCACAAGCGGCGGAGCAUGUGGAUUAAUUCGAUGCAACGCGAAGAACCUUACCUGGGUUUGACAUGCACAGGACGCCGGCAGAGAUGUCGGUUCCCUUGUGGCCUGUGUGCAGGUGGUGCAUGGCUGUCCUCACCUCCUGUCCUGAGAUGUUGGGGUUAAGUCCCGCAACGAAGGGCAACCCUUGUCCUA
rnacentral:rRNA from 1 species